GUAUCUUUUUAUACUUUAUAUAUUUAUUUGAAAACUGGGCAUUUUGGAUAUUUUAAUAGGACAUCUCUGGAAAUCAAAUUCUUCCCCAUUCCCAGGGUCUGUUUUCACUGUUGCCUGUUGUGGCUUUUCUUGUGUGUUUGUUUAGUGAGUCUGUGUAUUGUCUUGUUUGGCCGCUGAAGUCUCUGUUCUAUUACCUUGGUGGUGACUGAGUGGAGUAGGUUUAUUUGAACACCUGGAAAUAAAAUAUCUCCCAUUUUUUUUUUUUUUUUUUUUUGCCAAGGGGCUCUGUGUACUUGUUGAGGGAAACUUUCAACACUUCACGAGACAGUUUACAACUCUGUCUUAGCUCUCACUUUAGUUCGCGGAGAACAUCAAGGUCAGCUAAGAGUGAGUUCUUUCCUCAGUGUGUGCACAGCUCUGUAUAUGGCCACAUAGAGUCCCAGGAGUGUGUCUGAACUUUUCAAAGCCCCAAUGGACAUUUUAUUCCCCAGCUUUAACAUUACAUCUUUUUGGUUAGUGUAUUGCUUGCUCCAACAGAUGUCUAUUGCCUUAGGCAGCAGUGACUACAAGAUUUGACUGUCAAGGCCUUCAAAGAAUACUCCCCAGGUAGCAGCUUUAGCAUUGGGUGAGUUCCUACUAAAGCAAAAUAAAGACAAGCUUUUUGAACUAGUCUUUCAGGAAGCCAAGAGAGAGGUCAAAUAAAUCAUUGUGAAGGAGGUUGGUUCUGUUUCCUCUAGUACCAGGAAUGUGGGCUGUUAUUUUCAUGGUUACCAGUGAGCUGGGGAGUUGGGAAUGGGAGUUGGGUAAGUUAAUAUACCACAAAGUUCAUUCUUAUUCUUGACACAAAGCCAUUCUUCUUUGUCUGAGUGCUUCUUGGGUUGCUGCAAGCCUUUGGUUAUUUUCCAGAGUUCUGAAAAAGUUGAUUGUGACAGUUCUUGCCAGUUUUUUCAUUGUUUUCAGGGAAGGGUGGGAUUUUGGAGUUCCUUCUUCCACCAUUCUUCCUGACAUCACUCUCUGCAGUGUCUUUUUUUUUUUUUUUUUGAAAGAUUUUAUUUAUUUAA